GUCUAUAGCCAUACUACUCUGAACAAUCCUGAUCUCGUCUGAUCUCGGAAGCUAAGCAGGGUCAGGCCUCGUUAGUACUUGGAUGGGAGACCACCUCGGAAGACCAAGUACUAUAGCUG
rnacentral:rRNA from 1 species